UACAGAGAGUGCGAACGUUGUUCGGAAUUACUGGGCUUAAAGCGCACGUAGGCGGCGCCGCAAGUGUUGGGUGAAAUCCCACGGCUUACCCGUGGAACUGCCUGGCAGACUGCGGUGCUAGAGGAUGGUAGGGGAGAGCGGAACUCCUGGUGGAGCGGUGAAAUGCGUAGAGAUCUGGAGGAACACCGAUGGCGAAGGCAGCCUUCUGGGCCAACACUGACGCUCAUGCACGAAAGCGUGGGGAGCAAACAGG
rnacentral:rRNA from 1 species